AUGGUUGAACGAUGGCCAGCACUCUUCACAGAGAGACAGGUGUUUGCUGAGUUUAAUAGAAUUGCCAGUAAGAAUCUUUAGGGAGACUUCUUUGAGGCUCUGGACCAGUACGCGCCACGUUUCAUCGAACUCUUCAAAACAAAGAAGGGAACUGUUGGCCAGAAACUCAGGGAGCUGAUGCAACACAUGAGCUGGAUGACACCAGACGUGACAGUACUUCGCUCUGUUGUCCUCAAAGGCAUUCCCAUUUUACUCUGUGAUGACUCCAGUGAAUUCUACAAGACCUGCUCUGAUACAAUGAGAGACGAGGCCCUAGAAUGCAUCACUGUUGGUGUGCUGACAGUUGUCAGUGAAGAUAGUCCUCAUGAGGGUCAAGGCUCAGUGGACCUCCAGCCCAUCUCCACUGCCAUCAUUCUGGAGGGAGGUAUUGUCAUGGAUCAUAUUAAAAACUUGCCUCAGGCAGUUUGUCUGUUGUUUGGGCUUACAUAUGCAUUGCAUUUGGAUUACCCAAAAUGCAUGGCAAAUACACUCAACUUCAUUCAGACUGUGAUGCUUGGACUGGGAAAGAAAAAA